rnacentral:rRNA from 1 species
GACGAACGCUGGCGGCGUGCCUAACACAUGCAAGUCGAACGAACCGCGUCUCCGUUCUUUCUCUUGGUCAGGGUAGGUGGCGAACGGGUGAGUAACACGUAGGUACCCUACCUCAUAGUCGGGGUUACCAGUCGGAAGCGACGGCUAAUACCGCAUAUGUCAUCGGCUCGCAUGAUUCGGUGUGGAAAGGUGGCGCAAGCUAUCGCUAUGAGAUGGACGCGCGGGGCCUUGGCUAGUUGGUAGGGUGAAGGCCUACCAAGGGGAUUAUGCGUAGCCGACCGGUGAGGGUGAGCGCGCACACUGGGACAGAGACACGGCCCACACUCCUACGGGGGGCAGAAGUGUGGAAUCUUCCGCAAUGGACGCAAGUCUGACGGAGCACGGCCGCGUGAGUGAGAUGGGUCUUCUGGUCUUAAAGCUCUGUUGUUAGAGAAGAACAGCGCCUAGAGUAACUGUUAUGCGUGUGACGGUAUCGAAUCAGAAAGCGACGGCUAACUACGUG